rnacentral:rRNA from 1 species
AUUAAACGCUGGCGGCAUGCCUUACACAUGCAAGUCGAACGGCAGCACGGGGGCAACCUUGGUGGCGAGUGGCGAACGGGUGAGUAAAGCAUCGGAACGUGCCCUGGAGUGGGGGAUAACGUAGCGAAAGUUACGCUAAUAUCGCAUAUUCUGUGAGCAGGAAAGCAGGGGAUCGCAAGACCUUGCGCUCUGGGAGCGGCCGAUGUCGGAUUAGCUAGUUGGUGGGGUAAAGGCCUACCAAGGCGACGAUCCGUAGCGGGUCUGAGAGGAUGAUCCGCCACACUGGGACUGAGACACGGCCCAGACUCCUACGGGAGGCGGCAGUGGGGAAUUUUGGACAAUGGGCGAAAGCCUGAUCCAGCCAUGCCGCGUGAGUGAAGAAGGACCUUC